GGUCUGGUGUCGAAAUUGGCAAACGAAGUAGACUCAAAAUCUACCGAUAUCACUAUCUUGUGGGUUCAAGUCCCACCCGGACCACCA
rnacentral:tRNA from 1 species